GAGGAAUUUUGCGCAAUGGGGGCAACCCUGACGCAGCAACGCCGCGUGAGUGAAGAAGGCCUUUGGGUCGUAAAGCUCUGUCAACCGGGAAGAAAUUACAAGUGUCGAAUAGGCAUUUGUAUUGACGGUACCGGUGAAGGAAGCAUCGGCUAACUCCGUGCCAGCAGCCGCGGUAAUACGGGGGAUGCAAGCGUUAUUCGGAAUUAUUGGGCGUAAAGGGCGCGUAGGCGGUUUUGUCGGUCAGAUGUGAAAGCCCAGGGCUCAACCCUGGACGUGCAUUUGAAACAGCAAGACUUGAGUACGGGAGAGGAAAGCGGAAUUCCUGGUGUAGAGGUGAAAUUCGUAGAUAUCAGGAGGAACACCGAUGGCGAAGGCAGCUUUCUGGACCGAUACUGACGCUGAGGCGCGAAGGCGUGGGUAGCGAAC
rnacentral:rRNA from 1 species